GCCCUUCUCUCCUUGCCCUUCAAGGUCACAGUGAAAGAUUACGAAAGAGUGGAAAAGCACUGCUCAGAAAAUGGGCCAUAGGGACUUUCCUUCAGCGAGGAACAGGAGAACAAUGUCCAGCCUGGUGCAGGUUGGCUGAACUCUGUGGAGGAAGGAAGUGUGAAGCAAGGGAUACCCCAAACAGGCUGCCUCAGCUCUCCCCUCCUAGAGGUUCUGGAAAAACGUGACAGGGAGGCAGCCGGAAAGCUCAGCUGGCCGGGAAAUCCUUGCCAAGGCAUCUGAGGUAGAGUUUCUCUCCCAAACAUUAACUUGCUUCCCCAGAACCAACUGCUGCUCGGUGGCAGCUACUCUUUCUUGUUGUUACGUAGCUCAGGAUAGCCUCGAACUCUCUCUUCUCCACCCUCAGUCUCCCAAGUGCUGAGAUGACAGGUAUGAGCCACCACACCCAUCUUAUUUCAUCCCUUGCAAGUGAGACAAAUGUUUUAAAAUAAGUAUUUACUCAGCUGCAGAAUCCAUAAAUAAUAGCACAGGCUGAAGAAUUCUCAUCUCAUAUAUAUAUAUAUAUAUAUUAGAACAAUAAAUAGAAUCAAUCCUCAAGUGCACUGGCAAAGGCAGGGCUGUUAAGCAUUAUGACACACUGAAUGGUGGCAUUGGAUUCCAGGAAGUGCAGCAGCUUCCAGGAAGAGCAUUUGUGGAUUGUGACAUGGUAACUUAACUACAACAGGAAGAUAUUGUCUUCAUAAACAACAACCACCACACACACCUUCCACACCACACUCCUGGUCUGAAAACAUUUUCGGUCUCAACUUUUUCCCAGUUGGUAUCAAGUGCUUAUAGCAGAAUCGGGCCUUGAAAGAGUCCCAGAAGUUUGGAUUUUAUUCCGGGUACAACUGAUUCCUGAUCAGGACAGCAAAGAGAUUAUCAGUUACAAGCCUGCAUCCUGGAAGAGAUGGCCCGACGAAGAGUUGGGGACUCCAGGUACAGUUCCUGACACAGCCUUCUGCCCACCCAGAACGUUUCUCCCGACCAUGGCCUCCUGGCAUCUUUUGGCAGCAGCCAGCCUACAAACCCGUCUUACCAGUUCCUGGGCAGCCAGCCAUCUUUUUUGAAUGCCUGACCCUCCAGCCCCUUUCGUGGGAGUGGCCUCCAGCAAACUGCCUAGCUGGGUGCUGGAGUACCACCCCUCCAGCCCCGGCCUGGGAGACCACACUCCACAAAGAAGAUAUAACCUGGCCAGGGCUGCACAGAACCACCAUCAGCAGGAGAACAGGGGCUGAGCCAAGACAUCAAGGUUGACAUAUGACAGGAACCAGCUGAAGAGGAGGGUUGAAAGUCCUUCCUGACCUGGGCUUUUCCCAAUGGACAGAGCAUGUGUGCAAGAAAACGCCAACGAGGGAACACCACUUUUCUUGGUAACACCUCCUGGACCCAAGUGCUACCUAGGAGGGCUGCCUCCAGACGGUGCCACUACCCAAGUACAGCAGCUUUGGAACCCUCCAGUAAAACGGCCCUUCCUUCCCCGGGAGCCAGCUUCCUGCCCUCAUCCCUUGUCUCAGGCUGUCUCCCAGGCCCACGUGGCUUCAGUUCCACACCCUAAGCAUUUCUAUGAAUCUGGGCUUUGUUGGAUGUUUAUUCGUGGGGUGUGAGUUCCAAAGGGAAAUAAAGCUGUGCA